rnacentral:rRNA from 1 species
UGCUGGAGGUAUCAGAAGUGCGAAUGCUGACAUAAGUAACGAUAAAGCGGGUGAAAAGCCCGCUCGCCGGAAGACCAAGGGUUCCUGUCCAACGUUAAUCGGGGCAGGGUGAGUCGACCCCUAAGGCGAGGCCGAAAGGCGUAGUCGAUGGGAAACGGGUUAAUAUUCCCGUACUUGGUGUUACUGCGAAGGGGGGACGGAGAAGGCUAUGUUGGCCGGGCGACGGUUGUCCCGGUUUAAGCGUGUAGGUGUGUGUUCCAGGUAAAUCCGGUUCACUUUAACACUGAGGCGUGACGACGAGGCACUACGGUGCUGAAGCAACAAAUGCCCUGCUUCCAGGAAAAGCCUCUAAGCAUCAGGUAACAUCAAAUCGUACCCCAAACCGACACAGGUGGUCAGGUAGAGAAUACCAAGGCGCUUGAGAGAACUCGGGUGAAGGAACUAGGCAAAAUGGUGCCGUAACUUCGGGAGAAGGCACGCUGACACGUAGGUGAAGUGAUUUACUCAUGGAGCUGAAGUCAGUCGAAGAUACCAGCUGGCUGCAACUGUUUAUUAAAAACACAGCACUGUGCAAACACGAAAGUGGACGUAUACGGUGUGACGCCUGCCCGGUGCCGGAAGGUUAAUUGAUGGGGUCAGCGCAAGCGAAGCUCCUGAUCGAAGCCCCGGUAAACGGCGGCCGUAACUAUAACGGUCCUAAGGUAGCGAAAUUCCUUGUCGGGUAAGUUCCGACCUGCACGAAUGGCGUAAUGAUGGCCAGGCUGUCUCCACCCGAGACUCAGUGAAAUUGAACUCGCUGUGAAGAUGCAGUGUACCCGCGGCAAGACGGAAAGACCCCGUGAACCUUUACUAUAGCUUGACACUGAACAUUGAGCCUUGAUGUGUAGGAUAGGUGGGAGGCUUUGAAGCGUGGACGCCAGUCUGCAUGGAGCCGACCUUGAAAUACCACCCUUUAAUGUUUGAUGUUCUAACGUGGACCCGUGAUCCGGGUUGCGGACAGUGUCUGGUGGGUAGUUUGACUGGGGCGGUCUCCUCCUAAAGAGUAACGGAGGAGCACGAAGGUUGGCUAAUCCUGGUCGGACAUCAGGAGGUUAGUGCAAUGGCAUAAGCCAGCUUGACUGCGAGCGUGACGGCGCGAGCAGGUGCGAAAGCAGGUCAUAGUGAUCCGGUGGUUCUGAAUGGAAGGGCCAUCGCUCAACGGAUAAAAGGUACUCCGGGGAUAACAGGCUGAUACCGCCCAAGAGUUCAUAUCGACGGCGGUGUUUGGCACCUCGAUGUCGGCUCAUCACAUCCUGGGGCUGAAGUAGGUCCCAAGGGUAUGGCUGUUCGCCAUUUAAAGUGGUACGCGAGCUGGGUUUAGAACGUCGUGAGACAGUUCGGUCCCUAUCUGCCGUGGGCGCUGGAGAACUGAGGGGGGCUGCUCCUAGUACGAGAGGACCGGAGUGGACGCAUCACUGGUGUUCGGGUUGUCAUGCCAAUGGCACUGCCCGGUAGCUAAAUGCGGAAGAGAUAAGUGCUGAAAGCAUCUAAGCACGAAACUUGCCCCGAGAUGAGUUCUCCCUGAGACUUAGAGUCUCCUGAAGGAACGUUGAAGACGACGACGUUGAUAGGCCGGGUGUGUAAGCGCAGCGAUGCGUUGAGCUAACCGGUACUAAUGAACCGUGAGGCUUAACCUUACAACGCCGAAG